rnacentral:rRNA from 1 species
UACAGAGGUCCCAAGCGUUGUUCGGAUUCAUUGGGCGUAAAGGGUGCGUAGGCGGCAGGGUAAGUUGGAUGUGAAAUCCUGGGGCUUAACCUCAGAAUUGCAUUCAAUACUGCUUUGCUAGAGAGCUGUAGAGGAGACUGGAAUUUACGGUGUAGCAGUGAAAUGCGUAGAUAUCGUAAGGAACGCCAGUGGCGAAAGCGAGUCUCUGGGCAGCAUCUGACGCUGAGGCACGAAGGCCAGGGGAGCAAACGGG